AUCCGCCGGAAGUGCGUCCGUCCGGGCGAGGAAGGAAAUAGGGCGCGGGGCGCCGCUGUCCAGUUUUCCCAGCACCACUUAUUGAAAAGCCUGUCUUGACAGAUCAAAAGAUUGUGGCAUAGAAGGACUCAAGCUCAGCUUCUUUCAUGAGAGGACCAAAAUUACAGCUAACUGUUGAACAGGCAUCAACAAAACAGACUGGAAGCUACCAAAAAAAAUAUCCUAUACCCAAACACAAAGAAGAAGUCACAUCGAAAUGGUAGGAGGGGUGUUUUCACGAUGUAAGUAAUCCCUUAACAGCUGGGUGGAAACAGACUGGAAAAUAACUGUAUCUCAGAGGCUCUCCCACAGGACUGAGAGUUUGGAGCUCCACGUCAGGUUCCCACACUUGGCAUUGGCAAGAGGAACCCCUGAAGCAUCUGGUGUUGAAGGCCAGUGAGGCUUGAGCUCCACAGGACUGGAGGAAACAGACCCCACUGUUGGAGGGGAUGCACAGGGUUUCUUGUGCACUGGCUUCCAGGGCAAAGCAGAGACUCCAUAAGAAUCUGGAUCAGGCCUUCCUGUAGGUCUUGGAGGCUCUCCUGGGAGAGCAGGGUGUGUGUGGGGGGUGCUCACUGUGGGGCAGGUCAUUGGACACAGAGGUCCCAGAAAUAAUCAUCAGUGUGAGCUCCCCCGAAGGCUGCCAUUUUGGAAAAACCUGGACCCACUCAUCAGGGCUGAGAAGCCCCAAGCCAAGGAACAAACAGGGGAGGAACACAGCUCCACACAUCACCAAACAGGCUGCCUAAAGUCCUUCCAGGCACACAGCUGCCUUAAAUCACACCCAGAGACAAAGCCUCACCCACCAGAGGGAGAAGACUCAGCUCCACCUACCAGUGGGAAGGCACCAGUUCCCUCCAUCAGGAAGCCUGCCAUGAGCCCCUGUAACGACAUCACCCACAAGGGGACAGACACCAGAAGAAAGACUACAACCCUUUAGCUUGCGAAAAGGAGACCACACAAAAGCUAUACAAAAUAAAGAGAGAAAUAUGAGCUAGGUGAAGGAAAAAGACAAAACCCCAGAAGAACACCUAAGUGAAGUAGAGAUAAGAAACCUGUCUGAAAAAAACUUUGGAGUAAUGCUAGUAAGGAUGAUCCAAGAUCUGAGAAACAAAUUAGAAGCAAAGAUCAAUAAAUUGGAAGAAACAUUUUUAAAAAGGCGUAGAAGAUUUAAAGAUUCAACAAGCAGAGAUGAUCAACACAAUAACCAAAAUAAAUUCACUAGAAGGAACAAAUAGCAUAGUACAGGAGGCAGAAGAACAGAAAAGCAAGGUAGAUGACGGACUGGCGGAAAUCACUGAUGUGGAACAGAAUAAAGGGAAAAGAAUGGAAAGAAUGGAGGACAGUCUAAGAAAACUCUGGGACAACUUUAAACACACCAACAUUUGCAUUAGGAGAAGGAGGAGAAAGAGAACAGGCUGGAGAAAAAUAUUUGAAGAAAUAAUAGCUGAAAAUUUCCCUAACAUGGGAAAGGAAUCACUCACUCAACUUCAGGAAGCACAGUGAGUACCAUAUAAAAUAAACCCAAGGAGGAAUACCCCAAGACACAUUAAUCAAACUGACAAAAAUUAUUUAAAGACAGAGAAAAUACUGAAAGCAGCUAGGGAAAAGCUUUACAACAAAUGCUAAAGGAACUUCUCUAGGCAGAAAAGAAAAGGCUACAACUGAAAAUAAGAAAAUUACAAAUAAGAAGGCUCACCAGUAAAGGCAAACAAAUACUAAAGGUAGGAAAUCAUCCACACACAAAUAUGCUACCAAAACCAGCAGUCAAGAGAAGAGGGUACAAAUGUAGGAUCUGGGAAAUGUAUUUGCAAUAAAGAGACCAGCAUUUUAAAACAAUCCUGUAUAUACAUAGACUCCUAUGUCAAAACCUCAUGGUAACCAAAAAUCUGCAAUAGAUAAAUGCACAAAUAAGAAAAAGCAAUCCAAACACAAUACUAAAGAUAGUCAUCAAACCACAAGAGAGGAGAACAAAAGAAGGGAAGAAAAAAAAAAAGACCAAUAAAAACAGUUAACAAAAUGGCAAUAAGAAUAUACAUAACAAUAAUUCCCUUAAAUGUAAAUGGACUGAAUAGUCCAAACAAAAGACAGAUUGGCUGAAUGGCUGCAAAAACAAGAGCCAUAUAUAGACUGUAUAAAAAAGAUGUAGUACAUAUAUACAAUGAAAUAUUAUUCAGCCAUAAAAAGAAUAAAAUAAUGCCAUUUGCAGCAACAUGUAUGGACCUAGCAAUGAUCAUACUAAGCAAAGCUAGACAGUGAAAAACAAACAUACGAUUUCAUUUAUAUGUGAAAUCUAAAGAUACAAAUGAGCUUAUUGCAGAACAGACUCUUGCAAACCUUGAAAACAAACUUAUGGUUCCCAAAGAGGGCAAGUGGGGUGGGGCGGACUGGGGGUUUGAGAAUGCCAUAGGCCCCCUUAAGUAUAUGGAAUGACUGGCCAACAGGAACCUGUGGUACAGCACAGGGAACUCUACCCAAUAUUCUGUGAUGAUCUAUAUGGGAAAAGAAUACUAAGAAGAAUGGAUGUGUGUAUAUGUGUAACAAUCACUUUUUUUGUACAGCAGAAAUCACAACAUUGUAAAUCAACUAUACUUCAAUAAAAUGUUUAUAAAU
rnacentral:lncRNA from 1 species